AUUGAACGCUGGCGGCAGGCCUAACACAUGCAAGUCGAGCGAGCGGCGGACGGGUGAGUAAUGUCUGGGAAACUGCCUGAUGGAGGGGGAUCACUACUGGAAACGGUAGCUAAUACCGCAUACCAUCAGAUGUGCCCAUAUGGGAUUAGCUAGUAGGUGGGGUAAUGCCUUCCCUAGGCGACGAUCCCUAGCUGGUCUGAGAGGAUGACCAGCAAUACUGGAAUGGGGACACGGCCCAGAUUCCUACGGGAGGCAGCAGUGGGGAAUAUUGCACAAUGGGGGAAAGCCUGAUGCAGCCAUGCCGCGUGUAUGAAGAAGGCCUUCGGGUUGUAAAGUACUUUCAGCGGGGAGGCGUUACCCGCAGAAGAAGCACCGGCUAACUCCGUGCCAGCAGCCGCGGUAAUUC
rnacentral:rRNA from 1 species